rnacentral:tRNA from 1 species
GGGGAUGUAGCUCAGUGGUAGAGUACUUGCCUACCAUACGUAAGUGCCUGGGUUCAAUUUCCAGUACCUCAA